ACAGUGUUGUCACCCAUAAAGUAGAAAGCACUACUAAACUUCAAUGCAAAGUGUAGUGUUUCCUACUUUAUGGAUGAGUAUACUG
rnacentral:pre_miRNA from 10 species